UUGGUGGUUGGUCAGUGCCCCUGGCCACGCCAUGGCUCAUUGCUUUCAGUGCUGUUCACCUGCCUUUCACAGCUGUAGUGCUUCAGGGAUGAGGCUCUGCCGCAGCCACGCUCCCAGUUACCACAAACUGUGUGCCUCCAACCAUGAGGUGUACGCCCCAGGAUUUUUUGCAGAAAAUUUGAACACACUUCAUUUCUUGGAAAUUCCACCUCUUCGUUUCAAGGUCCAUUAGAGGACACAGGCAUGGGAAUUGACAUUCUGACUCAAAUCCAUGGGAGGCAAUUGAAUAUUCUGAUAUGUACCUUUCCUGUAGAGCACAGGCUAAUUUGCCUCCUGGACAAAGAAAGCCCAGAGCUGGUGUCUCACAUCCAUCUUGCUGUCACAGCAAUGCCAUGUUGCUUGCUCCACAUGCCUCCCACACAAACGAUCUCACAAAGAGCUCUGUGCCUAUGCAGCUUCUGUACCCAAGCUGUGUUACUAGGAAUGCCUCUGCAAUGCACUGUGCUCUGCAGGUCUGCUACAAAUUUAAUGCAAAGGGGGAGAGCAGAGGGUAGGCAUGAUGCAGAGGGAGAACAGAGGAGCUGCAGCCUUUUACCCACUCUGCCAUCAGCACCAUCCUCCUCCACAUGCAUGCUGUGGACUGCACACCUGCCUAAGCCCCUGCUGCAGUCACCAGCACAGCAGCUACGGCUGGAACCGAGCUGUUAAAGCCUUGCUCACAGUCACCAGCUUCCCUUCACAGCAAUCACUCGUGAUGAACUGUCCCCACAACUCAUGCAAAUUUUAAGGGAAAAUUAUAAAGUCUAGAGA